GAUGAACGCUAGCUACAGGCUUAACACAUGCAAGUCGAGGGGCAUCAGGAAGAAAGCUUGCUUUCUUUGCUGGCGACCGGCGCACGGGUGAGUAACACGUAUCCAACCUGCCCUUUACUCGGGGAUAGCCUUUCGAAAGAAAGAUUAAUACCCGAUAGCAUAAUGAUUCCGCAUGGCUUCAUUAUUAAAGGAUUCCGGUAAAGGAUGGGGAUGCGUUCCAUUAGGUUGUUGGUGAGGUAACGGCUCACCAAGCCUUCGAUGGAUAGGGGUUCUGAGAGGAAGGUCCCCCACAUUGGAACUGAGACACGGUCCAAACUCCUACGGGAGGCAGCAGUGAGGAAUAUUGGUCAAUGGGCGUUAGCCUGAACCAGCCAAGUAGCGUGAAGGAUGAAGGCUCUAUGGGUCGUAAACUUCUUUUAUAUAAGAAUAAAGUGCAGUAUGUAUACUGUUUUGUAUGUAUUAUAUGAAUAAGGAUCGGCUAACUCCGUGCCAGCAGCCGCGGUAAUACGGAGGAUCCGAGCGUUAUCCGGAUUUAUUGGGUUUAAAGGGAGCGUAGGUGGACUGGUAAGUCAGUUGUGAAAGUUUGCGGCUCAACCGUAAAAUUGCAGUUGAUACUGUCAGUCUUGAGUACAGUAGAGGUGGGCGGAAUUCGUGGUGUAGCGGUGAAAUGCUUAGAUAUCACGAAGAACUCCGAUUGCGAAGGCAGCUCACUGGACUGCAACUGACACUGAUGCUCGAAAGUGUGGGUAUCAAACAGG
rnacentral:rRNA from 1 species